rnacentral:rRNA from 1 species
AAAAUUAGUGGAUGUAAAGAAAAAUUGUUAUCCGCUGGAGGAAAGGAAAUUCUGCUCAAAUCUAUUGUACAAGCUAUCCCAACUUAUGCUAUAUCCCUCUUUAUAAUUCCUAAUUUUUUUUGCAAAGAAAUCAUUGACGUGAUGUCGCAAUUUUGGUGGGGUGACGUGCACAGGCAGAAAAGGAUGCAUUGGUUGGCGUGGUGGAAAAUAUGUGACUUAUGA